rnacentral:lncRNA from 1 species
AAACAUGAUCUCAAUUCCUGAUAUGUAGCCAAAAUAUACUAAGAUAUUAUUAAACAUCUACAAUAACGAUCUACUAUAUGAAGGUUGAUGGUUGAAAGUGGCAGUUGAGGCUUGAAAUUUUUAGAUUUUGGUUUUAUUUUCAUUGAAUAAUUUUUUUUAUUUCAUGAGAACUUAAUUUUUCGUUUUAUGAUUUCAUUUAUAAGUUUUCUUUCUAUCAAUAACAAUGUUUACCUUUCGUUUGACUUUGAAUAAUUAUGUUUGAUGUUUUUUCUUAUUUUUGAAUCGAUUUUACUUAUGUUUUGGUUAUAAAAUAGAUACAAAUCAAGUACUUUAAACUCGAAGAACCGAUUUUACUUAUGUUUUGGUUACAAAAUAGGUAUAAAUAAAGUACUUUAAAACCGAAGAACCGGUUGGAACCCAAAACCCGAAAGUACACCGGGUUGUACCGGUUCUUUGAAGAUUUACUAAUCCCGAUUCGAACCUGAUAAAACCUAAACCGGUCCUGAACAGAACUUUUAUAUAAUCCGAAUGUAGCUGAUUUUGAUAAACCCGAAAAACUGAGACCCGAUUGAACAAAACCGAAACCCGAUUGGGACCCCGAAUGCCGAUGCCUAAUUGAGAUUAUGGAAUGUGACGUGAGUACUUACCAACAUAUUAACAGCCAUUGGGUAAUUUUUUGUGUGUGUUAUGGUUUGUCAAUAAAACGUUUGGUGAGACCAGUAAAAAUAGGGUAUUCAGUUUUAGGAAAACACAUGCAUCAUAUAUAAUCGUAACUUUCUAGAUUUUGUAUUUCAAAAUAUAGUUAGUAUUGUUAUUUUCCAUAUAUAGUGGAUACUAAAGUAUCUUUAAAAUAUUUGAUUAAUCAUAAAAAAAUCUGAUUGGUUGUAUUUAUUGUUGCAGAAAUUUAUUUAAAAUAAUAAAAAAUGACAAUGGCAUUGAAAUGUAAAUAACUUGAAAAACUAAGGGCAGAAUUCUAGUAGGGAUUUUGCUUUAAUAGUAUAGAUU